rnacentral:rRNA from 1 species
CUCUUGCUGGGGGAUUAGUGGCGACGGGUGAGUACACGUGAGUACCUGCCCUUGACUCUGGGAUAAGCCUGGGAAACUGGGUCUAAUACCGGAUAUGACUGUCUGACGCAUGUCAGGUGGUGGAAAGCUUUUGUGGUUUUGGAUGGACUCGCGGCCUAUCAGCUUGUUGGUGGGGUAAUGGCCUACCAAGGCGACGACGGGUAGCCGGCCUGAGAGGGUGACCGGCCACACUGGGACUGAGACACGGCCCAGACUCCUACGGGAGGCAGCAGUGGGGAAUAUUGCACAAUGGGCGCAAGCCUGAUGCAGCGACGCCGCGUGAGGGAUGACGGCCUUCGGGUUGUAAACCUCUUUCAGUAGGGAAGAAGCGAAAGUGACGGUACCUGCAGAAGAAGCGCCGGCUAACUACGUGCCAGCAGCCGCGGUAAUACGUAGGGCGCAAGCGUUAUCCGGAUUUUUUGGGGGCGNAAAG